AUUCGUGUUAAAAUUUCAAAAAGUUCAUAAAUGUCCAGAGAUCUAAACUAGGGAGUAAGAUCUACAUAAUCAUCCUCAUCACUCUCGUCGUCGGUGUCAUCGGGAGCCGAAGUAGUAGGUCGACGAGCGAGGUUCAUCACUUGUUCUUUGAUUUGCUGAACGGUCUCACUCAUGCUUUGUUGUUCAGCUACUCUUUUCCGCUCCAACUCUUCUAGUUCCGCUAUAAGUUUAGCUAUUUGAUCCGACAUAACAGCAAUCUGAACACCGUCAAGUGCCUCAGCUUGACGUGACGAUCCAAUACUUUCUAAGCCUGACUGAAGGUGUCUAACAUCGUUGCGAG
rnacentral:lncRNA from 1 species